rnacentral:rRNA from 1 species
ACAUGACUACAACAUAGUGUUAAUGCAAUGGAUCCCAUUAUAACUCUGUAGUUAAGCGUGCUUAGGCUAGAGUAAUAUUGGGAUGGGUGAUUGACUGGGAAGUCCUAGUGUUUUACAUGCC